rnacentral:rRNA from 1 species
CUGCCCCGGGUGCGUCGCAGCCCCGGACCAAGGCGCCCGCCGGAGGACCAACCAAAACUCUUAUUGUAUACCCCCUCGCGGGUUUUUUUAUAAUCUGAGCCUUCUCGGCGCCUCUCGUAGGCGUUUCGAAAAUGAAUCAAAACUUUCAACAACGGAUCUCUUGGUUCUGGCAUCGAUGAAGAACGCAGCGAAAUGCGAUAAGUAAUGUGAAUUGCAGAAUUCAGUGAAUCAUCGAAUCUUUGAACGCCCAUUGCGCCCGCCAGUAUUCUGGCGGGCAUGCCUGUCCGAGCGUCAUUUCAACCCUCGAACCCCUCCGGGGGGUCGGCGUUGGGGAUCGGCCCUCCCUUAGCGGGGGCCGUCUCCGAAAUACAGUGGCGGUCUCGCCGCAGCCUCUCCUGCGCAGUAGUUUGCACACUCGCAUCGGGAGCGCGGCGCGUCCACAGCCGUUAAACACCCAACUUUCUGAAAUGUUGACCUCGGAUCAGGUAGGAAUACCCGC